GUCAGAAAGAUUGAGAGGUGGGUAGGAACCAGAUAAGGGGAUAAUGUUCAUUUGUUUUAUUAACUAUUUUGUAUUAUUUUGUUUGGAUGAUUUUAUGACAUUUAUAUUUUUACUGAAUCAGAAUGCCGCCUCAUCAUGUCUGUAGCCAGAAUUGGAUGUUUAGGGGCUCUCGGGGAAGAGUCCCUGCUAACCAAGCGGACGAGGCUUCGCAAAGCUCAAGGCCCCGGGGUCAAUCAACAAUGACUCCGGAAGCUGUCGCUGGAAAUCAAACUCGGGUGCUCGAACUGAUCGAGGAGGUUGUCGGGUUAGUACGCCAACAGAGGCAACAACCUC
rnacentral:lncRNA from 1 species